rnacentral:rRNA from 1 species
UACAGAGGUCUCAAGCGUUGUUCGGAUUCAUUGGGCGUAAAGGGUGCGUAGGUGGCGGGGUAAGUCAGGUGUGAAAUUUCGGAGCUCAACUCCGAAACUGCAUUUGAUACUGCCUUGCUUGAGGACUGGAGAGGAGACUGGAAUUCACGGGUGUAGCAGUGAAAUGCGCAGAUAUCAGGAAGAACACCUAUGGCGAAAGCAGCUCUCUGGGACGGUACUGACGCUGAGACGCGAAAGCGUGGGGAGCAAACAGG